AAGGCAGCCAACAAGGCCUUUACUGACGCUAAAGCUCGAAGGUGCGGGUAUCGAACAGGAUUAGAUACCCUGGUAGUCCGCACGGUAAACGAUGGAUGCCCGCUGUUUGCGAUAUACUGUGAGCGGCCAAGAGAAAUCGUUAAUCAUCCCCCCUGGGGAGUACGCCGGCAACGGUGAAACUCAAAGGAAUUGACGGGGGCCCGCACAAGCGGAGGAACAUGUGGUUUAAUUCGAUGAUACGCGAGGAACCUUACCCGGGCUUGAAUGGCAGGCGAACGAUACAGAGAUGUUGAGGGCCUUCGGGGCGCCUGUGGAGGUGCUGCAUGGUUGUCGUCAGCUCGUGCCGUGAGGUGUCGGCUUAAGUGCCAUAACGAGCGCAACCCUUUUCAUUAGUUGCCAUCAGGUAAUGCUGGGCACUCUGGUGAUACUGCCACCGUAAGGUGUGAGGAAGGUGGGGAUGACGUCAAACAUCCACGGCUUGACGGGCGGUGUGUACAAUCCCGGACAAUGGGAGGUACAGAGAGAUGGAAUGCGCAAGGCGCAUCUAAUCCUAAAAGCCUUCGUCAGUUCGGAUUCGCUCUGCAACCCGACGCCAUGAAG
rnacentral:rRNA from 1 species